rnacentral:rRNA from 1 species
AGUGGCGAACGGGUGAGUAAUACAUCGGAACGUGCCCAAUCGUGGGGGAUAACGCAGCGAAAGCUGUGCUAAUACCGCAUACGAUCUACGGAUGAAAGCAGGGGAUCGCAAGACCUUGCGCGAAUGGAGCGGCCGAUGGCAGAUUAGGUAGUUGGUGAGGUAAAGGCUCACCAAGCCUUCGAUCUGUAGCUGGUCUGAGAGGACGACCAGCCACACUGGGACUGAGACACGGCCCAGACUCCUACGGGAGGCAGCAGUGGGGAAUUUUGGACAAUGGGCGAAAGCCUGAUCCAGCCAUGCCGCGUGCAGGAUGAAGGCCUUCGGGUUGUAAACUGCUUUUGUACGGAACGAAACGGCCUUUUCUAAUAAAGAGGGCUAAUGACGGUACCGUAAGAAUAAGCACCGGCUAACUACGUGCCAGCAGCCGCGGUAAUACGUAGGGUGCAAGCGUUAAUCGGAAUUACUGGGCGUAAAGCGUGCGCAGGCGGUUAUGUAAGACAGUUGUGAAAUCCCCGGGCUCAACCUGGGAACUGCAUCUGUGACUGCAUAGCUAGAGUACGGUAGAGGGGGAUGGAAUUCCGCGUGUAGCAGUGAAAUGCGUAGAUAUGCGGAGGAACACCGAUGGCGAAGGCAAUCCCCUGGACCUGUACUGACGCUCAUG